rnacentral:rRNA from 1 species
GGGUUGUGAGGUUAAGCGAACAAGCGUACACGGUGGAUGCCCUGGCAGUCAGAGGCGAUGAAGGACGUGCUAAUCUGCGAAAAGCGCCGGUAAGGUGAUAUGAACCGUUAUAACCGGCGAUGUCCGAAUGGGGAAACCCGGUGCACUUCGGUGCAUCAUCGUUAGCUGAAUACAUAGGCUAACGAGGCGAACCGGGGGAACUGAAACAUCUAAGUACCCCGAGGAAAAGAAAUCAACCGAGAUUCCCCCAGUAGCGGCGAGCGAACGGGGAACAGCCCAGAGCCUGAAUCAGCUUGUGUGUCAGUGGAACGGUCUGGAAAGGCCGGCGAUACAGGGUGACAGCCCCGUACACGAAGGCACACAGGCUGUGAGCUCGAUGAGUAGGGCGGGACACGUGAUAUCCUGUCUGAAGAUGGGGGGACCAUCCUCCAAGGCUAAAUACUCCUGACUGACCGAUAGUGAACCAGUACCGUGAGGGAAAGGCGAAAAGAACCCCGGCGAGGGGAGUGAAACAGAACCUGAAACCGUGUACGUACAAGCAGUGGGAGCCUUCGUAAGAGGGUGACUGCGUACCUUUUGUAUAAUGGGUCAGCGACUUAUAUUCUGUAGCAAGGUUAACCGUAUAGGGGAGCCGAAGGGAAACCGAGUCUUAAUUGGGCGUUAAGUUGCAGGGUAUAGACCCGAAACCCGGUGAUCUAGCCAUGGGCAGGUUGAAGGUUGGGUAACACUAACUGGAGGACCGAACCGACUAAUGUUGAAAAAUUAGCGGAUGACCUGUGGCUGGGGGUGAAAGGCCAAUCAAACCGGGAGAUAGCUGGUUCUCCCCGAAAGCUAUUUAGGUAGCGCCUCGUGAACUCAUCUCCGGGGGUAGAGCACUGUUUCGGCUAGGGGGCCAUCCCGGCUUACCAACCCGAUGCAAACUGCGAAUACCGGAGAAUGUUAUCACGGGAGACACACGGCGGGUGCUAACGUCCGUCGUGAAGAGGGAAACAACCCAGACCGCCAGCUAAGGUCCCAAAGUCAUGGUUAAGUGGGAAACGAUGUGGGAAGGCCCAGACAGCCAGGAUGUUGGCUUAGAAGCAGCCAUCAUUUAAAGAAAGCGUAAUAGCUCACUGGUCGAGUCGGCCUGCGCGGAAGAUGUAACGGGGCUAAACCAUGCACCGAAGCUGCGGCAGCGACGCUUAUGCGUUGUUGGGUAGGGGAGCGUUCUGUAAGCCUGCGAAGGUGUGCUGUGAGGCAUGCUGGAGGUAUCAGAAGUGCGAAUGCUGACAUAAGUAACGAUAAAGCGGGUGAAAAGCCCGCUCGCCGGAAGACCAAGGGUUCCUGUCCAACGUUAAUCGGGGCAGGGUGAGUCGACCCCUAAGGCGAGGCCGAAAGGCGUAGUCGAUGGGAAACAGGUUAAUAUUCCUGUACUUGGUGUUACUGCGAAGGGGGGACGGAGAAGGCUAUGUCGGCCGGGCGACGGUUGUCCCGGUUUAAGCGUGUAGGCUGACUUUCCAGGCAAAUCCGGAAAGUUAAGGCUGAGGCGUGAUGACGAGGCACUACGGUGCUGAAGUGACAAAUGCCCUGCUUCCAGGAAAAGCCUCUAAGCAUCAGGUAACAUCAAAUCGUACCCCAAACCGACACAGGUGGUCAGGUAGAGAAUACCAAGGCGCUUGAGAGAACUCGGGUGAAGGAACUAGGCAAAAUGGUGCCGUAACUUCGGGAGAAGGCACGCUGACAUGUAGGUGAAGCCCCUGCGGGUGGAGCUGAAGUCAGUCGAAGAUACCAGCUGGCUGCAACUGUUUAUUAAAAACACAGCACUGUGCAAACACGAAAGUGGACGUAUACGGUGUGACGCCUGCCCGGUGCCGGAAGGUUAAUUGAUGGGGUUAUCGCAAGAGAAGCUCCUGAUCGAAGCCCCGGUAAACGGCGGCCGUAACUAUAACGGUCCUAAGGUAGCGAAAUUCCUUGUCGGGUAAGUUCCGACCUGCACGAAUGGCGUAAUGAUGGCCAGGCUGUCUCCACCCGAGACUCAGUGAAAUUGAACUCGCUGUGAAGAUGCAGUGUACCCGCGGCAAGACGGAAAGACCCCGUGAACCUUUACUACAGCUUGACACUGAACAUUGAGCCUUGAUGUGUAGGAUAGGUGGGAGGCUUUGAAGCGUGGACGCCAGUCUGCGUGGAGCCGACCUUGAAAUACCACCCUUUAAUGUUUGAUGUUCUAACCUGGCGCCGUGAUCCGGCGUGGGGACAGUGUCUGGUGGGUAGUUUGACUGGGGCGGUCUCCUCCCAAAGUGUAACGGAGGAGCACGAAGGUCAGCUAAUCCUGGUCGGACAUCAGGAGGUUAGUGCAAUGGCAUAAGCUGGCUUGACUGCGAGAGUGACGGCUCGAGCAGGUGCGAAAGCAGGUCAUAGUGAUCCGGUGGUUCUGUAUGGAAGGGCCAUCGCUCAACGGAUAAAAGGUACUCCGGGGAUAACAGGCUGAUACCGCCCAAGAGUUCAUAUCGACGGCGGUGUUUGGCACCUCGAUGUCGGCUCAUCACAUCCUGGGGCUGAAGUAGGUCCCAAGGGUAUGGCUGUUCGCCAUUUAAAGUGGUACGCGAGCUGGGUUUAGAACGUCGUGAGACAGUUCGGUCCCUAUCUGCCGUGGGCGCUGGAGAAUUGAGGGGGGCUGCUCCCAGUACGAGAGGACCGGAGUGGACGCAUCACUGGUGUUCGGGUUGUCAUGCCAAUGGCACUGCCCGGUAGCUAAAUGCGGAAGAGAUAAGUGCUGAAAGCAUCUAAGCACGAAACUUGCCCCGAGAUGAGUUCUCCCUGAGACUAUAAGUCUCCUGAAGGAACGUUGAAGACGACGACGUUGAUAGGCCGGGUGUGUAAGCGCAGCGAUGCGUUGAGCUAACCGGUACUAAUGAACCGUGAGGCUUAACCUUACAACGCCAAAGAAGU